AGCGCUGCUGGGCGGCCGGCGCUGGGACAGGAGGAGUAGAGCUGCUCCUCGCAGGCUGACCGCGGCGGGUACAUCGCGUCAUGGUGGAAAGUGCCCUCUCGCCUCUGGCUGCCGUAAUAUUCCGGCGAGUGACUGGGAAGCUACAGAAGAACUAAUUGUCCCAUGUCUGAUGUAUGCCAUUAAAGUGAGAGAAACGAUGAAAAAUGCAAAGGAAAAUCCCCGCCUACCUGCACGAGUUUCCCUUUGUGUAUGGAAUGGACCCAAACUUACGUAGAUCUGCUUUAUUGUCCCUGGCAUCUCACUUUCUUGGAGAAAAUGUCUCUCGUCUGGACAUAAACAGUUGCCAGGAAACUGUGUGGCAGGAGGAGAAAACGAGAGGGAGAAAGAGAGCGGGAGGAAGGGAGACAACGAGAAACCUUUGAACAUAACAGGCAGGCAUUGUCCCUUCAGCCCCCACGGGAGCCCAAGGGUGACUCCUUGGACCCAGCAGCCACCCCCAGGCCGUGCUCCUGACAGACCCCUCGGGGUGACCACUGGGAGCGAGAAAUAAUAAACGCUCCUUUUAGGAUUAGCUAAAAACCCCGUUUUAAACCAGCCUCGCAGCCGUGUUUCACGCUCGGCCACCCGCCUUUCCCACUCGUGUGCAUGCGGACACAGGAGAGGCCGCACAUGUGUGAGCACACACGUGUUUGCACACGCGUGACACGGCUUCACACGCGCACCAGCAGAGGUUGGGGGCUGUACGGAUCGACACGCGUGUUGGGAUGCUCGUGGCUCACAUGCGGGUGCACAGGAGCGGGGGCGACCUAUGGCUCAUGCCCAGCGCCUCUGGGCCCUACGCGGAACUGAGAGUCCGCGCUCGGUGCGGAACCGGGCACCGUGGAGGAGAAGCGAGUCCAGGAGUGGGACCGGAGGCUGCGGUCCCGGGGUGACGGGAAUGCAGCCAGGGCAAGGCCCCCCCCCCCCGCCGGGACACCGGCUGCGGGAGCCCCCCGGGAGCCGCCGGCCGCCGCCGCCGACAGUAGAUGGCAGCAGACGGCGGGGAAUGGGCGAGCCCCGGCGGCAGCCCCGGGGGAGGGAGCGGCGGGGGGGGCUCCCCUCUACCGCUGUAUUUUAUCUUCCCUAAUAAAUAAGCAUGGGAGGAUUCCAGGAGGGGACCCGGCCGGGAGAAGCGCGGACACCCCCCAUCCCUCCACCCCGGGGUGGUGGGGGGGGGGGUGCACAAGCAUUUCUCGUUCAUCCCGUGUUGAAAUGGUUAAAAAAGACCUGCCCGCAGUGAGAUGCGGGAUUUCCACAAGUGGUUGACCACGCAGGAUAGGGAAAAAAUAGGUAUAAAAGCGUUUUGGAGCAAGCUUCCUAAAUUAAAUGAUUUUUGAAUAUAUUUUUUCUUACGAAUAGCGAAAGAAACAACCCCAAACAACGAACGUGAGGAGGCUUAGGAAAAGGGAGAACAGGCACUUUAACCGGUAUUCAUUUUUUUCCCCGUGAUUUAUGAAAAAUGUAACAGGUUCGGGAAGAAAUAGCUUUUAAAAAUGACUUUCUGUUUAUUAUUUCCGCGGCUUGUGAUCAUUUACUCUUGUCCACACAAUAUUCAAGCACAGACAGUUUAGGGCGAGAUAAAUCGUCACGUCAUAAAAUGGUUUAUGCUUAAGUAAUGAAUCUCUCCUUACUCAAUCUCGCUUCACUUCCUCAGGCUCUUACAUUAUCUUAUUUAAAAAUCACCUCGUAACAGUAGCAAUUAGUACAAUAAUUCAAUCCCCCAUGAAAUCUCGCAAAAACAAGAAGAUGAAACCCUCCACAUUUAAAAUCACAGGUAUCCCAGACAAACCUUUUCCUAAACCCGAAGAUAAGCGUUAGGGUAUCACAGAGUGAGGGGAGAUUUGCGCAUUACCGGGUAUGGAAAAGCACCGCCACGCCGUGGGGCUCAGACCCGAGCCAGUAUUCCGGCCGGGAAAGCCGUAAAACCCCAUUAACACCGCGGAACGCAAUUAAAUACAUGGAGGUUUAUUGCAUCGCAACGUCAGCUUCAUUUGGGAGUUUCACAAGGGGGGGGUGUGUGGAAAUACAAUGAGAGCGCUGCGCUCGGGGUUGGCUUCAUUCUUAUUACCUUUUUUUUUUCCCCUUUAUUUUUUCCCUUUCUUCCUUUUUUUUUUUUCUUUUUUUUUUUCUUAUUUGUUUUCUUUUUAACUAAUUUCCAGAGCCUUAUUUUCGAGGCCGCCGCGAGCUGCCCUCUCCGAAGAAACCACCCACAUAAUAAUGACCCUGGAGAGCAACGCAAAACCCAACUGGCUUCCACACAAACUUCGCCAAAUGACGGGGCUCGCCUGAGGAACAGGCGAACUGGCAAAAGCUUCUGCGAGGGGAGAAAAAAUAAACCACCAGAACGACCCGCAAAGGGUUUGCUAUUUUUUUAAAGGCAGUAUCUAAAAGCCUCCACCACCAAGCUCCUGCAAAAUCCUUCACUCCAAGUCUACUAUCUCCAGGUGACCUUAAAGGCUUUAUUUUUCCUUCUUAUUCCGUUGUUUUAUUUGUUCUUUUCUUCCUUAUUUCCGUUCUUAUUUUAAUCCUCUGUUUCUUUCUCAAUCUCUCUUCCCCCCCCCUUAUUUCUUUCUAUUUUCUUCCUCUAUUUCUUCCCUUCAUUCUCUCAAUGUCUCUACCUUUUCCCCAUCCCUUUUUCUCUCUCCCUUUCUUUCACCUUUACACUACGCUUUUCAAGGAAAAUUGUCACACAGAUUUCCACCAUCCCUGAUUUCUUAAAGUGCCUCCCUUUUUCAUCACCCCACCCUUUUCUUUCUCCCCCACCCCUGGACAGAGAAUAUGUGGAAUGGAAUAGAAAAGGCAGCUUGACAAAUGCAUUUUCUCAAAGAAAAUAUUAAACGAAGAGAAGCGUAUGAUUCCCUUACCUUUUGACGUCCAUUUCUGUGGCAUAAGUAAAAUAGGGAGGGAGAGGGAGACAGCGUUUGCUUAUCUGUUAGCUGACAAAUAUUGUCCCAACCUGAGAGCCGUCGGUCGCCUCUCUGACUUGUGAGAGCUUCUUGCAUUUCUGUCAUUUGCAUAGAAAAUGGAGCAACUUCCCUCUUUGAAAAAUGAUAGCCUCCACUCGGUCCAGAACCUCCUCUGCCCCUCCAUGGCUACCGAGAUUCCAGAUCAGCAGCAAAUUAAGAGAGGAAUUAAAAAAUAAUAAUAA